AAAAAUCAAUUACCUUCUUUGUAUAAUCAAACCUUGUGUAAUAGCUAAGUUUGUUUAAUAAAGUUUUAUCAAGUUUGUGAAAGUUCUUCGGGGAUUCCCAAAAGGAAAACCUCUCUCAGUCUAAUCAUGAGAUAAUUUUCCUCUUACAGACCUUGGAUGCCCAAUUGGGCAUGUCAGGGAAAAAACACAUUUUGCAGAACUGAAAAAGGUACAAAAUAAGGUGCAUGUCGAGAACAUAACAUAUGCAGAUAGGAACAUGCUAUUGCAGGAACUAAAAACAAUCAAGGAUCAUCAAGAUACUUACACUAUAGGAAUGCAUGGAAAUUAAUUUGGCGGAAUUUAGAUGGUGAUAUUAGUUCCUAAGAGCUUAUUCUGUCAGAUUUCAACGAAUUACGAAAAAUAAAUUUACUGUAGGAUAAGAAAUGAAAGCAACAAGAACUUAUUUGGGAUUAUGCACGGAUUAGACAACAAAAGAUCCAUUAGUGCAUUAGUAGGUGUUCACUGUAGCAAAACAGUCUUACAGUUUUCAGAAUCCUACAUCAAAUAUCAACGAAAAAGGGGGAAAAAAAAGAUAGUUACCUUCGUCUUACAAAAGUAUGUCUUAGCCAAAUCAAGUUGAAGAAGUCUUCAUCAGACAAGAUUACAUGGCGCUAGUGAGAUUUUUUAGCGUCUACUGUGUAGUCUAUCUGUAAUGACCCUUCAAGUCAUUUAUGUGUUAUACCCUCUUUUCAUUGUUUAGAGCAUUUCUAUAAUG